rnacentral:tRNA from 1 species
GGGGAUAUAGCUCAGUUGGUAGAGUGUUUGCCUUGUAUACACAGGGCUCUGGGUUCAAAUCUCAGCACCA